rnacentral:rRNA from 1 species
AGCGGCGGACGGGUGAGUAACGCGUGGGUAACCUGCCUCAUACAGGGGGAUAACAGUUGGAAACGGCUGCUAAUACCGCAUAAGCGCACAGUACCGCAUGGUACGGUGUGAAAAACUCCGGUGGUAUGAGAUGGACCCGCGUCUGAUUAGGUAGUUGGUGGGGUAACGGCCUACCAAGCCGACGAUCAGUAGCCGACCUGAGAGGGUGACCGGCCACAUUGGGACUGAGCACGGCCCAA